UUGUCUGCGUGAACCUCCCUGAGUCUUGGCACAGCUCGCUUCUAAGUGGUGACAGGAUGCCCUUCAGAACAGGGUCCAGGUAGCCGGGCUGCCAGCGAGAUGCCUGGCGCAGGAGAGCCGCGGGGAAAGGAGAGAUGUUUCCAGACGAUUCUGCCUGCCGAUGGUUGAUUUUGCGUCUUGAUCACCACGGAUCUGUUUCCGAAGGUUUAGAAAUGACUCAUCAUACCUGAAGCCUGUG
rnacentral:lncRNA from 1 species